AUGUAAAUAAUAAGCUUUAUACAGUCCGGGACAUUUCUAUUUGGACAUAAAAAAUUUGAAUUUUCUGACAUUUAUACGUAUAUUCAGCGUCUAUGUGAACAAAAAAUGUUCUCUCUCUCAUUCUAUGGUCCUUGAGCUUUAAUAACAGGGACAUUUUUUAAAUUGGUAGCAUUAGAAAAUGACAGUAAACAGCUGACUGAUGUAAACAAUAACACAAUAACAAAGGAAAUAGGAAGGAAAUGUUAUAAUUUUAAUCUAUAUAACCAGUGGCUGCUUUAAAAGCGUGUACUAACAGGAUAAUAAAAUAUUUAUAUUGUAUGAUGAGACGGGAAUGGCACAACACAGAAUUGCAGUCAGUGAUUGUGCUGGAGAAAGCUGCUGUGACGUACUGACAGUACUGACUGUCGCUAGUUGUAUGAUUUGCGUAAUUUGUGAUAUAUUUUGUGUGAAAAACUGGAAAACAAAGUGCAUAGCUGCAUAACCUCACUUAUCGCAGUUUUGCACAUUUUGAUGAUGGGAAUUGCGGUUCAAGUAAUUAUGAGUUAUAGAUGGAGCUCACUGUUUACUUCAAACUGAAGCCUUUUGGGUCCACUUUUUUCGUUGUUAUUUCCUGGUAGCGACUCUUGUUUCAAGCAGAAUGGGUGUAAAGUUAAAAAUAAUCCCAUAAAAUUGUUAAUAUAACUCCGUUGCACUGGCAUGGGGUAUUUGAAAACUUACGUUUAACAAAUACGUCACAAAGUCUCAGCCAUCGUCGAAAAACAUAAUAAGGGCUUUAUAACAACAAGCGCUUUCUGAUUUUACUGUGGACGUGUGGAAGAAUAGUGUGAAAUAUUGCGAAAAACCAACUUUUACUCUUGUUUACAUUUUUGUACGUCUCUAACUGAGAGUAGUCGUCUUUUAUAAAAAAUAUAGCUUACUAAUAAAGGAAAUUAAAGUGUUUUUAUUUCUGGGUUGCCUCCAAUUCCACUUUGCCCUUGCCUGAUAAUCAAGACACUGAUAAUGAAAUUGGUGUAAGUGCAUCGAAUAUAAACGUGUUGAAUAGAUGAAUAAAAGAGAGACAACUGCUUUUUUCAAAAAGGCCAUUUCAAAUUUAUUCAAAAAGCACACCCCCAUUGAAAAGGGUCCAUUCACGAUGAAGUUUGGCUUCCUGCAUGACAUAGGUUUCGGGCACCAAUCUCACUGUAAAUGGUCUAAAUUGGUCUUGCAUCUCUAAGACAUGGACUCACUGAGAGCGACUUCUGCAGUAGGCUUGAGACCUGCCUGACUGUCUCGCAACAAUCUCUGCAUUAUGAUUCCAAAUCAUUUUAUAAAAUGCUGUCAAUUACAAGCCAUGAUAUGAGGCAUGAGGCCGUCUCAGUGUAUGUCUUGUGGUGUACAUUAAAACUGUUUCUUAAAGAACACAAUGAGAUCUGCUUCGCUACAUGCGGCGCAAACAGGACUCAAAGACUAAUCCCAAAAGACACAAAAAAACUGACACAGUUUCAUAAUUUUAAGCCAUUGACAGCGUUUUCGAAUGUUGGUGCAAAGACUUGUCGCGACGCAGGUUUCAGCCUUCCGCCAACGUCAGUCUCAGUGAAACCCUCUCAAAAUGAUCUCAGCGAAAACCAUUCACAAUGAGAUUGGUCUAUGAGGCCUAUGUCGUGCCGCAUGCAGCGAGAUAUGUCUCAUUGUUAAUGAAAAUAGGGCCUUUUUUGUUGUUUAAAGUCGUUUUUUAAAACUUUUGUGGCAAAUUUUACUGAUGUGGCAGAGAGGGGGCAUGCAAUUGGAACAUGACGAUGACUACCCUAAAAGGCACUUCGAGGCUUUUAUGGCCUUUUUAAUGCAAAUUUCAACUUUAAACCUGACAGUCAUAUCAAGGUCAAACAUAACCUCAACAGUACUCCAGCAACGGUACUUCAAAGCGUUUGAAAGUUUCUCCAUUUGUUUUUAAGUGUUCUAGUUGGUACAUUUUGCUGUACUUUACUACAAUAAAGAAAUAUUUAAAUUUUUAUUAUUGUUUACAUUUGUCAUCUGUCAAACACAUCAAACAGCCAAGUUCCCUAAAUUUGAGCUCUUAUCUAGUUUUUGUGCUCUAUAUAGUCUCGCGUCAAGGUAUGCGGUAUGACGUAUCUCAUAUAGAAAUGUCCCGGACUAUAC